AGUGAACGCUGGCGGUAUGCCUAACACAUGCAAGUCGAACGGCAGCACAGUAAGAGCUUGCUCUUACGGGUGGCGAGUGGCGGACGGGUGAGGAAUACAUCGGAAUCUACUUUUUCGUGGGGGAUAACGUAGGGAAACUUACGCUAAUACCGCAUACGACCUACUGGUGAAAGCAGGGGAUCUUCGGACCUUGCGCGAUUGAAUGAGCCGAUGUCGGAUUAGCUAGUUGGCGGGGUAAAGGCCCACCAAGGCGACGAUCCGUAGCUGGUCUGAGAGGAUGAUCAGCCACACUGGAACUGAGACACGGUCCAGACUCCUACGGGAGGCAGCAGUGGGGAAUAUUGGACAAUGGGCGCAAGCCUGAUCCAGCAAUACCGCGUGGGUGAAGAAGGCCUUCGGGUUGUAAAGCCCUUUUGUUGGGAAAGAACAGCAGCAGGUUAAUACCCUGCUGUUCUGACGGUACCAAACGAAUAAGCACCGGCUAACUUCGUG
rnacentral:rRNA from 1 species